UGUCACCUAGCGGUGCAUCAAGGACAUAAUUCUUCUAUGCAGCAAUGAGGAUAAACCUCAUAUCACGGAUCCAAUCCGCAUCAUUGCUACUAACAUCUUUCAACACAAUUUUCUCUAGGAACAUAUCAAAAUAAACACAGGGAAGCAACAACGCAAGCUAUUGAUCUACAACAUAAUUUGCAAAAUACUACCAGGACUAAGUUCAUGAUAAAUUUAAAGUUCAAUUAAUCAUAUUACUUAAGAACUUCCACUUAGAAAGACAUCCCUCUAAUCCUCUAAGUGAUCACGUGAUCCAAAUCAACUAAACCAUGUCCAAUCAUCACGUGAGAUGGAGUAGCUUCAUUGGUGAACAUCACUAUGUUGAUCAUAUCUACUAUAUGAUUCACGCUCGACCUUUCGGUCUCCGUGUUCCGAGGCCAUAUCUGUAUAUGCUUGGCUCGUCAAGUAUAACCUGAGUAUUCCGCGUGUGCAACUGUUUUGCACCCGUUGUAUUUGAACGUAGAGCCUAUCACACCCGAUCAUCACGUGGUGUCUUAGCACAAAUAACUUUCGCAACAGUGCAUACUCAGGGAGAACACUUCUUGAUAAUUAGUGAGAGAUGACCUUAAAAUGCUACCGUCAAACUAAGCAAAAAUAAGAUGUAUAAAAGAUAAACAUCAUAUGCAAUCAAAAUAUGUGACAUGAUAUGGCCAUCAUCAUCUUGCGCCUUUGAUCUCCAUCUCCAAAGUACUGCCAUGAUCUAUAUCGUCACCGGCAUGACACCAUGAUCUCCAUCAUCUUGAUCUAUAUCAAUGUGUCGUCACAUGGUCGUCUCGCCAACUAUUGCUCUUGCAACUAUUGCUAUCGCAUAGCGAUAAAGUAAAGCAAUUAUUGGGCAAUUGCAUCUUAUGCAAUAGAGAGACAACCAUAAGGAUUUUGCAAGUUGCUGAUAACUUCAACAAAACAUGAUCAUCUCAUACAACAACUUAUAUCUCAUCACGUCUUGACCAUAUCACAUCACAACAUGCCCUGCAAAAACAAGUUAGACGUCCUCCACUUUGUUGUUGCAAGUUUUACGUGGCUGCUACGGGCUUAAGCAAGAACCAAUCUUACCUACGCAUCAAAACCACAACAAUAGUUUGUCAUGUUGGUGCUGUUUUAACCUUCGUAAGGACCGGGCAUAGCCACACUCGGUUCAACUAAAGUUGGAGAAACUGACACCCGCCAGCCACCUGUGUGCAAAGCACGUCGGUAGAACCAGUCUCGCGUAAGCGUACGCGUAAUGUCAUGUUGGGGAACGUAGUAAUUUCAAAAAAAUUCCUACGCACACGCAAGAUCAUGGUGAUGCAUAGCAACGAGAGGGGAGAGUGUGAUCUACGUACCCUUGUAGACCGACAGCGGAAGCGUUAGCACAACGCGGUUGAUGUAGUCGUACGUCUUCACGGCCCGACCGAUCAAGCACCGAAACUACAGCACCUUCGAGUUCUAGCACACGUUCAGCUCGAUGACAAUCCCCGGACUCCGAUCCAGCAAAGUGUCGGGGAAGAGUUCCGUCAGCAUGAUCGCGUGGUGACGAUCUUGACGUACUACCGCCGCAGGACUUCGCCUAAGCACCGCUACAAUAUUAUCGAGGAUUAUGGUGGAAGGGGGCACUGCACACGGCUAAGAAUAUGAUCACGUGGAUCAACUUGUGUGUCUAUGGGGUGCCCCCUGCCCCCGUAUAUAAAGGAUCAAGGGAAGGAGGCCGGCCGGCCCCUAUGGCGCGCCAAGGAGGAGUCCUCCUCCUAGUAGGAGUAGGACUCCUACUAGGAGGGGGAAAGAAGUGGGGAGGGAGAAGGAAAGGGGGGCGCCGCCCCCCCUCUCCUAGUCCAAUUCGGACUAGGGGGGGAGGAGGCGCGCGGCCCACCCUGGCUGCCCCUCUCUCUCUCCACUAAGGCCCAUAUGGCCCAUUACUUCUCCCGGGGGGGUUCCGAUAACCCUCCGGCUCUCCGGUUUUCUCUGAAAUCACCCAGAACACUUCCGGUGUCCGAAUAUAGUCGUCCAAUAUAUCAAUCUUUAUGUCUCGACCAUUUCGAGACUCCUCGUCAUGUCCGUGAUCACAUCCGGGACUCCGAACUAACUUCGGUGCAUCAAAACUCAUAAACUCAUAAUAUAACUGUCAUCGAAACCUUAAGCGUGCGGACCCUACGGGUUCGAGAACAAUGUAGACAUGACCGAGACACGUCUCCGGUCAAUAACCAAUAGCGGAACCUGGAUGCUCAUAUUGGCUCCUACAUAUUCUACGAAGAGCUUUAUCGGCCAGACCGCAUAACAACAUAUGUUGUUCCCUUUGUCAUCGGUAUGUUACUUGCCCGAGAUUCGAUCGUCGGUAUCUCAAUAGCUAGUUCAAUCUCGUUACCGGCAAGUCUCUUUACUCGUUUCGUAAUACAUCAUCUUGCAACUAACUCAUUAGUUGUAAUGCUUGCAAGGCUUAUGUGAUGUGCAUUACCGAGAGGGCCCAGAGAUACCUCUCCGACAAUCGGAGUGACAAAUCCUAAUCUCGAAAUACGCCAACCCAACAUUCACCUUUGGAGACACCUGUAGAGCUCCUUUAUAAUCACUCAGUUACGUUGUGACGUUUGGUAGCACACAAAGUGUUCCUCCGGUAAAUGGGAGUUGCAUAAUCUCAUAGUCAUAGGAACAUGUAUAAGUCAUGAAGAAAGCAAUAGCAACAUACUAAACGAUCGGGUGCUAAGCUAAUGGAAUGGGUCAUGUCAAUCACAUCAUUCUCCUAAUGAUGUGAUCCCAUUAAUCAAAUGACAACACAUGUCUAUGGUUAGGAAACAUAACCAUCUUCGAUUAACGAGCUAGUCAAGUAGAGGCAUACUAGUGACGUUUGGUUUGUCUAUGUAUUCACACAAGUAUUAUGUUUCUGGAUAAUACAAUUCUAGCAUGAAUAAUAAACAUUUAUCAUGAUAUAAGCAAAUAAAAUAAUAACAUUAUUAUUGCCUCUAGGGCAUAUUUCCUUCAGUCUCCCACUUGCACUAGAGUCAAUAAUCUAGAUUACACAGUAAUGAUUCUAACACCCAUGGAGCUUUGGUGCUGAUCAUGUUUUGCUCGUGGAAGAGGCUUAGUCAACGGGUCUGCUACAUUCAGAUCCGUAUGUAUCUUGCAAAUCUCUAUGUCUCCCACCUGGACUAAAUCCCGGAUGGAAUUGAAGCGUCUCUUGAUGUGCUUGGUUCUCUUGUGAAAUCUGGAUUCCUUUGCCAAGGCAAUUGCACCAGUAUUGUCACAAAAGAUUUUCAUUAGACCCGAUGCACUAGGUAUGACACCUAGAUCGGAUAUGAACUUCUUCAUCCAGACUCCUUUGUUUGCUGCUUCCGAAGAAGCUAUGUACUCCGCUUCACAUGUAGAUCCCUCCACAACGCUUUGUUUAGAACUGCACCAACUAAUAGCUCCACCGUUUAAUGUAAACACGUAUCCGGUUUGCGAUUUAGAAUCGUCCGGAUCAGUGUCAAAGCUUGCAUCAAUGUAACCAUUUACGAUGAGCUCUUUUUCACCUCCAUAUAUGAGAAACAUAUCCUUAGUCCUUUUCAGGUAUCAGGAUGUUCUUGACCGCUGUCCAGUGGUCCACUCAUGGAUUACUUUGGUACCUCCCUGCCAGACUUAUAGCAAGACACACAUCAGGUCUGGUACACAGCAUUGCAUACAUGAUAGAGCCUAUGGCUGAAGCAUAGGGAACAUCUUUCAUUUUCUCUCUAUCUUCUGCAUUGGUCGGACUUUGAGUCAUACUCAAUUUCACACCUUGUAACACAGGCAAGAAUCCUUUCUUUGCUUGAUCCAUUUUGAACUUUUUCAAAACUUUGUCAAGGUAUGUGCUUUGUGAAAGUCCAAUUAAGCGUCUCGAUCUGUCUCUAUAGAUCUUGAUGCCCAAUAUGUAGGCAGCUUCACCGAGGUAUUUCAUUGAAAAACUUUUAUUCAAGUAUCCUUUUAUGCUAUACAGAAAUUCUAUAUCAUUUCCGAUUAGUAAUAUGUCAUCUACAUAUAAUAUCAGAAAUGCUACAGAGCUCCCACUCACUUUCUUGUAAAUACAGGCUUCUCCAAAAGUCUGUAUAAAACCAAAUGCUUUGAUCACACUAUCAAAGCGUUUAUUCCAACUCCGAGAGGCUUGCACCAGUCCAUAAAUGGAUCGCUGGAGCUUGCACACUUUGUUAGCUCCCUUUGGAUCGACAAAACCUUCCGGCUGCAUCAUAUACAACUCUUCUUGCAGAAAUCCAUUCAGGAAUGCAGUUUUGACAUCCAUUUGCCAAAUUUCAUAAUCAUAAAAUGCGGCAAUUGCUAACAUGAUUCGGACAGACUUAAGCAUCGCUACGGGUGAGAAGGUCUCAUCGUAGUCAAUCCCUUGAACUUGCCGAAAACCUUUUGCGACAAGUCGAGCUUUGUAGACAGUAAUAUUACCGUCAGUGCCAGUCUUCUUCUUGAAGAUCCAUUUAUUCUCAAUUGCUUGCCGAUCAUUGGGAAAGUCAACCAAAGUCCAUACUUUGUUCUCAUACAUGGAUCCCAUCUCAGAUUUCAUGGCUUCAAGCCAUUUUGCGGAAUCUGGGCUCACCAUCGCUUCUUCAUAGUUCGUAGGUUCAUCGUGAUCUAGUAGCAUGACUUCCAGAAUAGGAUUACCGUACCACUCUGGUGCGGAUCUUACUCUGGUUGAUCUACGAGGUUCAGUAGUAUCUUGUUCUGAAGUUUCAUGAUCAUUAUCAUUAGCUUCCUCACUAAUUGGUGUAGGUGUCACAGAAACAGGUUUCUGUGAUGUACUACUUUCCAAUAAGGGAGCAGGUACAGUUACCUCGUCAAGUUCUACUUUCCUCCCACUCACUUCUUUCGAGAGAAACUCCUUCUUCAGAAAGUUUCCGAAUUUAGCAACAAAAGUCUUGCCUUCGGAUCUGUGAUAGAAGGUGUAUCCAAUAGUUUCCUUUGGAUAUCCUAUGAAGACACAUUUCUCCGAUUUGGGUUCGAGCUUAUCAGGUUGAAGCUUUUUCACAUAAGCAUCGCAGCCCCAAACUUUCAGAAACGUCAACUUUGGUUUCUUGCCAAACCACAGUUCAUAAGGCGUCGUCUCAACGGAUUUUGAUGGUGCCCUAUUUAACGUGAAUGCGGCCGUCUCUAGAGCAUAUCCCCAAAAUGAUAGCGGUAAAUCAGUAAGAGACAUCAUAGAUCGCACCAUAUCUAGUAAAGUACGAUUACGACAUUCGGACACACCAUUACGCUCUGGUGUUCCGGGUGGCGUGAGUUGCGAAACUAUUCCACAUUGUUUCAAAUGUACACCAAACUCGUAACUCAAAUAUUCUCCUCCACGAUCAGAUCGUAGGAAUUUUAUUUUCUUGUUACGAUGAUUUUCAACUUCACUCUGAAAUUCUUUGAACUUUUCAAACAUUUCAGACUUAUGUUUCAUUAAGUAGAUAUACCCAUAUCUGCUUAAGUCAUCUGUGAAGGUGAGAAAAUAACGAUAUCCGCCACGAGCCUCAACAUUCAUCGGACCACAUACAUCUGUAUGUAUGAUUUCCAACAAAUCUGUUGCUCUCUCCAUAGUACCGGAGAACGGUGUUUUUGUCAUCUUACCCAUAAGGCACGGUUUGCAAGUACCAAGUGAUUCAUAAUCAAGUGGUUCCAAAAGCCCAUCAGUAUGGAGUUUCUUCAUGCGCUUUACACCGAUAUCACCCAAACGGCUGUGCCACAAAUAAGUUGCACUAUCAUUAUCAACUCUGCAUCUUUUGGCUUCAACAUUAUGAAUAUGUGUGUCACUACUAUCGAGAUUUAAUAAGAAUAGACCACUCUUUAAGGGUGCAUGACCAUAAAAGAUAUUACUCAUAUAAAUAGAACAACCAUUAUUCUCUGAUUUAAAUGAAUAACCGUCUCGCAUCAAACAAGAUCCAGAUAUAAUGUUCAUGCUUAACGCUGGCACCAAAUAACAAUUAUUUAGGUCUAAUACUAAUCCUGAAGGUAGAUGUAGAGGUAGCGUGCCGACCGCGAUUACAUCGACUUUGGAACCAUUUCCCACGCGCAUCGUCACCUCGUCCUUAGCCAAUCUUCGCUUAAUCCGUAGUCCCUGUUUCGAGUUACAAAUAUUAGCAACAGAACCAGUAUUAAAUACCCAGGUGCUACUGCAAGCAUUAGUAAGGUACACAUCAAUAACAUGUAUAUCACAUAUACCUUUAUUCACCUUGCCAUCCUUCUUAUCCGCCAAAUACUUGGGGCAGUUCCGCUUCCAGUGACCAGUCUACUUGCAGUAGAAGCACUCAGUUUCAGGCUUAGGUCCAGGUUUGGGUUUCUUCUCUUGAGUAGCAACUUGCUUGCUGUUCUUUUUGAAGUUCCCCUUCUUCUUUCCUUUACCCUUUUUCUUGAAACUAGUGGUCUUAUUGACCAUCAACACUUGAUGCUCCUUCUUGAUUUCUACCUCUGCAGCUUUCGGCAUUGCGAAGAGCUCGGGAAUAGUCUUAUUCAUCCUUUGGAUAUUAUAGUUCAUCACGAAGCUCUUGUAGCUUGGUGGCAGUGAUUGGAGAAUUCUGUCAAUGAUGCAAUCAUCUGGAAGAUUAACUCCCAAUUGAAUCAAGUGAUUAUUAUACCCAGACAUUUUGAGUAUGUGCUCACUGACAGAACUGUUCUCCUCCAUCUUGCAGCUAUAGAACUUAUUGGAGACUUCAUAUCUCUCAAUCCGGGCAUUUGCUUGAAAUAUUAACUUCAACUCCUGGAACAUCUCAUAUGCUCCAUGACGUUCAAAACGUCGUUGAAGUCCCGAUUCUAAGCCGUAAAGCAUGGCACACUGAACUAUCGAGUAGUCAUCAGCUUUGCUCUGCCAGACGUUCAUAACAUAUGGUGUUGCUCCAGCAACAGGCCUGGCACCCAGCGGUGCUUCCAGGACGUAAUUCUUCUGUGCAGCAAUGAGGAUGAUCCUCAAGUUACGGACCCAGUCCAUGUAAUUGCUACCAUCAUCUUUCAACUUUGCUUUCUCAAGGAACACAUUAAAAUUCAACGGAACAACAACACGGGCCAUCUAUCUACAAUCAAACAUAGACAAGCAAGAUACUAUCAGGUUCUAAGUUCAUGAUAAAUUUAGGUUCAAUUAAUCAUAUUACUAAAGAACUCCCACUUAGAUACACAUCCCUCUAAUCCUCUAAGUGAUUACGUGAUCCAAAUCAACUAAACCAUGUCCGAUCAUCACGUGAGAUGGAGUAGUUUCAUUGGUGAACAUCGCUAUGUUGAUCAUAUCUACUAUAUGAUUCACGCUCGACCUUUCGGUCUCCGUGUUCCGAGGCCAUAUCUGUAUAUGCUUGGCUCGUCAAGUAUAACCUGAGUAUUCUGCGUGUGCAACUGUUUUGCACCCGUUGUAUUUGAAUGUAGAGCCUAUCACACCCGAUCAUCACGUGGUGUCUCAGCACGAAGAACUUUCGCAACGAUGCAUACUCAGGGAGAACACUUCUUGAUAAUUAGUGAGAGAUCAUCUUAAAAUGCUACCGUCAAUCAAAGCAAGAUAAGAUGCAUAAAAGAUAAACAUCACAUGCAAUCAAUAUAAGUGAUAUGAUAUGGCCAUCAUCAUCUUGUGCUUGUGAUCUCCAUCUUCGAAGCACCGUCGUGAUCACCAUCGUCACCGGCGCGACACCUUGAUCACCAUCAUAGCAUCGUUGUCGUCUCACCAAUCUUAUGCUUCCACGACUAUCACUACCGUUUAGUGAUAAAGUAAAGCAUUACAGCGCAAUUGUAUUGCAUACAAUAAAGCGACAACCAUAUGGCUCCUGCCAGUUGCCGAUAACUUGGUUACAAAACAUGAUCAUCUCAUACAAUAAAAUUCAGCAUCAUGUCUUGACCAUAUCACAUCACAACAUGCCCUGCAAAAACAAGUUAGACGUCCUCUACUUUGUUGUUGCACGUUUUACGUGGCUGCUACGGGCUUAAGCAAGAACCAAUCUUACCUACGCAUCAAAACCACAACGAUAGUUUGUCAAGUUGGUGCUGUUUUAACCUUCGCAAGGACCGGGCGUAGCCACACUCGGUUCAACUAAAGUUGGAGAAACUGACACCCGCUAGCCACCUUUGUGCAAAGCACGUCGGGAGAACCGGUCUCGCGUAAGCGUACGCGUAAUGUCGGUCCGGGCCGCUUCGUCCAACAAUACCGCCGAACCAAAGUAUGACAUGCUGGUAAGCAGUAUGACUUAUAUCGCCCACAAGUCACUUGUGUUCUACUCAUGCAUAUAACAUCAACACAUAAAACCUGGCUCGGAUGCCACUGUUGGGGAACGUAGUAAUUUCAAAAAAAUUCCUACGCACACGCAAGAUCAUGGUGAUGCAUAGCAACGAGAGGGGAGAGUGUGAUCUACAUACCCUUGUAGACCGACAGCGGAAGUGUUAGCACAAUGCGGUUGAUGUAGUCAUACGUCUUCACAGCCCGACCGAUCAAGCACCGAAACUACGGCACCUCCGAGUUCUAGCACACGUUCAGCUUGAUGACGAUCCCCGGACUCCGAUCCAGCAAAGUGUCGGGGAAGAGUUCCGUCAGCACGACGGCGUGGUGACGAUCUUGAUGUACUACCGUCGCAGGGCUUCGCCUAAGCACCGCUAGAAUAUUAUCGAGGAUUAUGGUGGAAGGGGGCACCGCACACGGCUAAGAAUAUGAUCACGUGGAUCAACUUGUGUGUCUAUGGGGUGCCCCCUGCCCCCGUAUAUAAAGGAUCAAGGGAAGGAGGCCGGCCGGCCCCUAUGGCGCGCCAAGGAGGAGUCCUCCUCCUAGUAGGAGUAGGACUCCUACUAGGAGGGGGAAAGAAGUGGGGAGGGAGAAGGAAAGGGGGGCGCCGCCCCCCCUCUCCUAGUCCAAUUUGGACUAGGGGGAGAAGGCGCGCGGCCCACCCUGGCUGCCCCUCUCUCUCUCCACUAAGGCCCAUAUGGCCCAUUACUUCUCCCGGGGGGGUUUCGGUAACCCUCCAGCUCUCCGGUUUUCUCCGAAAUCAUCCGGAACACUUCCGGUGUCCGAAUAUAGCCGUCCAAUAUAUCAAUCUUUAUGUCUCGACCAUUUCGAGACUCCUCGUCAUGUCCGUGAUCACAUCCGGGACUCCGAACUAACUUCGGUACAUCAAAACUCAUAAACUCAUAAUAUAACUGUCAUCGAAACCUUAAGCGUGCGGACCCUACGGGUUCGAGAACCAUGUAGACAUGACCGAGACACGUCUCUGGUCAAUAACCAAUAGCGGAACCUGGAUGCUCAUAUUGGCUCCUACAUAUUCUACGAAGAUCUUUAUCGGUCAGACCGCAUAACAACAUACGUUGUUCCCUUUGUCAUCGGUAUGUUACUUGCCCGAGAUUCGAUCGUCGGUAUCUCAAUACCUAGUUCAAUCUCGUUACCGGCAAGUCUCUUUACUCGUUUCGUAAUACAUCAUCUUGCAACUAACUCAUUAGUUGUAAUGCUUGCAAGGCUUAUGUGAUGUGCAUUACCGAGAGGGCCUAGAGAUACCUCUCCGACAAUCGGAGUGACAAAUCCUAAUCUCGAAAUACGCCAACCCAACAUUCACCUUUGGAGACACCUGUAGAGCUCCUUUAUAAUCACCCAGUUACGUUGUGACGUUUGGUAGCACACAAAGUGUUCCUCCGGUAAACGGGAGUUGCAUAAUCUCAUAGUUAUAGGAACAUGUAUAAGUCAUGAAGAAAGCAAUAGCAACAUACUAAACGAUCGGGUGCUAAGCUAAUGGAAUGGGUCAUGUCAAUCACAUCAUUCUCCUAAUGAUGUGAUCCCAUUAAUCAAAUGACAACACAUGUCUAUGGUUAGGAAACAUAACCAUCUUCGAUUAACGAGCUAGUCAAGUAGAGGCAUACUAGUGACGUUUGGUUUGUCUAUGUAUUCACACAAGUAUUAUGUUUCCGGAUAAUACAAUUCUAGCAUGAAUAAUAAACAUUUAUCAUGAUAUAAGGAAAUAAAAUAAUAACAUUAUUAUUGCCUCUAGGGCAUAUUUCCUUCAUGUCGGUCCGGGCCGCUUCAUCCAACAAUACUGCCGAACCAAAGUAUGACAUGCUGGUAAGCAGUAUGACUUAUAUCGCCCACAAGUCACUUGUGUUCUACUCGUGCAUAUAACAUCAACACAUAAAACCUAGGCUCGGAUACCACUGUUGGGGAAGGUAGUAAUUUUAAAAAAUUUCCUACGCACAUGCAAGAUCAUGGUGAUGCAUAGCAACGAGAGGGGAGAGUGUGAUCUACGUACCCUUGUAGACCGACAGCGGAAGCGUUAUGACAACGCGGUUGAUGUAGUUAUACGUCUUCACGGCCCGACCGAUCAAGCACCGAAACUACGGCACCUCCGAGUUCUAGCACAUGUUCAGCUCGAUGAUGAUCCCCGGCCUCGGAUCCAGCAAAGUGUCGGGGAAGAGUUCCGUCAGCGUGGUGACGAUCUUGAUGUUCUACUGUCGCAGGGCUUCGCCUAAGCACCGCUACAAUAUUAUCGAGGAUUAUGGUGGAGGGGGGCACCGCACACGGCUAAGAGGUCAAUGAUCAAUUGUUGUGUCUAUGGGGUGCCCCUGCCACCGUAUAUAAAGGAGCAAGGGGGAGGAGGUGCGGCCAGGAAAGGGGCGCGCCAGGAGGAGUCCUACUCCUAUCGGGAGUAGGACUCCCCCCUUUUCCAUGUUGGACUAGGACUCGGGGGGAAGGAGAGAGAGGGGAAAGGAAAAGGGGGGGCGUCGCCCCCCUCCUUGUCCAAUUCGGACUUGGGGGGGGGGAGGGGCACACGGAUGCCCCUUGGCCUCCUCUCCUCUUCCUCCACUAGGCCCAUUAAGGCCAAUUAGGUUGCCGGGGGGUUCCGGUAACCUCCCGGUACUCCGGUAAAAUGCCGAUUUCACUCGAGACACUUCCAAUGUACAAACAUAGGCUUCCAAUAUAUCAAUCUUCAUGUCUCGACCAUUUCGAGACUCUUCGUCAUGUCCGUCACAUCCGGGACUCCGAACAACCUUCGGUACAUCAAAACAUAUAAACUCAUAAUGAAACUGUCAUCGUAACGUUAAGCGUGCGGACCCUACGGGUUCGAGAACAAUGUAGACAUGACCGAGACACGUCUCCUGUCAAUAACCAAUAGCGGAACCUGGAUGCUCAUAUUGGCUCCCACAUAUUCUACGAAGAUCUUUAUCGGUCAGACCGCAUAACAACAUAUGUUGUUCCUUUUGUCAUCGGUAUGUUACUUGCCCGAGAUUCGAUCGUCGGUAUCUCAAUACCUAGUUCAAUCUCGUUACCGGCAAGUCUCUUUACUCGUUUCGUAAUACAUCAUCUCGCAACUAACUCAUUAGUUGCAAUGCUUGCAAGGCUUAUGUGAUGUGCAUUACCGAGAGGGCCCAGAGAUACCUCUCCGACAAACGGGGUGACAAAUCCUAAUCUCGAAAUACGCCAACCCAACAUGUACCUUUGGAGACACCUGUAGAGAUCCUUUAUAAUCACCCAGUUACGUUGUGACGUUUGGUAGCACACAAAGUGUUCCUCCGGCAAACGGGAGUUGCAUAAUCUCAUAGUCAUAGGAACAUGUAUAAGUCAUGAAGAAAGCAAUAACAACAUACUAAACGAUCGGGUGCUAAGCUAAUGGAAUGGGUCAUGUAAAUCACAUCAUUCUUCUAAUAAUGUGAUCCCGUUAAUCAAAUAACAACUCUUUUGUUCAUGGUUAGGAAACAUAACCAUCUUCGAUUAACGAGCUAGUCAAGUAGAUGCAUACUAGUGACACACUGUUUGUCUAUGUAUUCACACAUGUAUUAUGUUUCCGGUUAAUUCAAUUCUAGCAUGAAUAAUAAACAUUUAUCAUGAUAUAAGGAAAUAAAUAAUAACUUUAUUGUUGCCUCUAGGGAAUAUUUCCUUCAAUAGGGAAGAUAGAUAUUGCAAGAGGCAUAAGUACUUAGAAACUGAAUAGUUGCAAGAAAGUCUUGAUGAUUGUGCUGAAAAAUUCAAUAUUUUUCGCACCCCUUGUGAACUUUGCAAUGAACAUGGUCAUUUAAAUCUCCAAUGCAAAUUGUUUCAUGACCGAAUCAUAUCCAAAAAUUGUGAUAAUUUGAUUACCCUUGAGCAUCAUAAAGAGCUUAGUCUUCUUUUGGGGUAUGAGGAAAUGAAACGUAUAACUGAGGGUAUUCCAAAGUUUAAUCUUGAUAGAUUUCUUGAUUUUGAUCUAGAGAAAAUUUAUAUGUAUUGUGCGGUGAAUUGUAUUGAAAAUCCUUAUAUUGCCAACUACAUAAAGAAAAGAAAAGAAAUAGAGGAUGAAGAGAAUACUAAUGAAAGGGAAGAGACUUCCCAAUAUCCUCCUGUUAUUUCUUAUGAUGAAUCAGGUAACGAGGAGGAGCCUCCUAUUCAACCAAUCUCAUUAAUAAGGAGCUCCAAAAAGAGGAUUGAACCCACACAUGAUGUGGUGAAGAAGAAGAAGAAAAGAAAAAGGAAGAGAGGUAAAAAGAUAUCUCUCCCAAAUAGUGAUGCUCCUAUUACUAUUGUGCCUCAUGAAAAUAUGAUUGUGGAAGAUAAUGAUACUUCUUAUGAUCUUGAAAAUCUUUUUGGCACUUGCUUGGAAGAAUAUGAUAAUUGCUAUACUAUUGGUGCUAUCUAUACUAUUAAUGAUGAGAGUGAUUAUGCUUAUGAUAUGAAAAGGCCCAAGCUUGGGGAUGCUAUGUUUGAUGAAGAUGAUGUUUUUGAGAAUAUAUUUGCUGCAAUUAAUGUUUGUCCCAAGCUUGGGGAAGCUAUGAUUAAUGAAGAUGAUAUUUUUAGUCUCCCAAGUUUUGAUAUGCAAGUUUAUAAUGAUGAUAGCAUGCCUCCUACUUAUGAUGAUUAUUGUGAAGAUACUUAUGCUAUAAAAAGUAGUGAUUAUAUUUAUAAAACUUGUCAUGAUUAUGGUUACCCCUUUUCUGAACAUUACUCUUUUAAUGUGGAAACAAUUUAUAGUAUUCGAGUUUCCUAUGAUACUCCCACUAUUCCGAAUGAGAAGAAUUUUGCUUAUGUGGAGAGUAAUAAAAUUUCUAUGCUUGUAGAUCAUGAAAAGAAUGCUUUAGGUGAUGGAUAUAUUGUUGAAUUAAUUCAUGAUGCUACUGAAAAUUAUUAUGAGUAAGUAAUAUAUGCUUGUAGGAAUUGCAAUAAUAUCAAGUUUCCUCUCUAUGUGCUUAAAGUUUUGAAGUUAUGCAUGUUUUCCUUUCCUAUGCAAGUUGAUUCUUGUUCCCAUAAGUUGUUUGCUCACAAAAUGCCUAUGCAUAGGAAGUGGGUUAGACUUAAAUGUGAUAGUCAUAUUCUUCAAGAUGCUCUCUUUAUGUUAAAAUUCUUAUCUUUUAUGCGAGCAUCGUUGAAAUCAUCAUGCCUAGCUAGGGGCGUUAAACGAUAGCGCUUGUUGGGAGGCAACCCAAUUUUUUUUGUUCCUUACUUUUUGUUCCUGAUUAGUAAUAAAUAAUUCAUCUAGACUCUGUUUAGAUGUGGUUUUAUGCUUUUAAUUAGUGUUUGUGCCAAGUAUAACCUUUGGGAAGACUUGGGGAAAGUCUUCUUGAUCUUGCUGUAAAAAACAGAAACUUUGGCGCUCACGAGAAUUGCUGCCAUUUUUAUUUGGAGAGUGAUAUUUAGUUAAUUAUUUUUUCAGAUGAUUAAUAGAUAAAUUACUUACGUCCAGCAAUUUAUUUGAGAAUUUUAUGAGUUCCAUAAGUAUACGUUUGAUUCAGAUUACUACAGACUGUUCUGUUUUUGACAGAUUCUGUUUUUUUCAUGUGUUGUUUACUUAUUUUGAUGAAUCUAUGGCUAGUAAAAUAGUUUAUAAACCAUAGAGAAGUUGGAAUACAGUAGGUUUAACACCAAUAUAAAUAAAUAAUUAGUUCAUUAUAGUACCUUGAAGUGGUGAUUUAUUUUCUUAUACUAACGGAGCUUACGAGUUUUCUGUUAAGUUUUGUGUUGUGAAGUUUUCAAGUUUUGGGUAAGGAUUCGAUGGUCUAUGGAAUAAGGAGUGGCAAGAGCCUAAGAUUGGGGAUUCCCAAGGCACCCCAAGGUAAUAUUCAAGUAUAGACAAGAUCCUAAGCUUGGGGAUGCCCCGGAAGGCAUCCCACCCUUCGUCUUCGUUCAUCGGUAACUUUACUUGAAGCUAUAUUUUUAUUCACCACAUGAUAUGUGUUUUGCUUGGAGCGUCAAUUUAUUUUGUUAGGAUUUUCUUUCUGUUAUUUAGAACAAUGUUUUGCAUAUUUUAUUUCAAUAAAAGUGGCAUUGAUAGCCUUUACUAUGCCUAUGUUAGAAGUCCACAUGUUGCUGUUUGAAAACAGAAAGUUUACCGCUGUUGCAAUAAUUCCCUAGAAAAGUCAGAAUGUGAUAAAAUGUUGAAACCUUUUGCAUAUUAAGCUCUGAUAAAUUUACUACAGUGGGAAGUUUCUUUAAUAAUUUUUGGAGCUAGGGAAGUAUGGAUGUUGCUGCAUUCUUUACAGACUGUCCUGUUUAGGCAGAUUGCUGUUAUGUUUGCAUUGUUUGCAUAUGUUUGCUUCUUUAAUGAUUCUAUUUGAGGAUAAGACUAUUAAAUAUGCAGAGGCCUUUAGUAUGCAAUUUUGAAUAAUAAUUUUAGUGAUUUUCUACAGUAGAGUAUGAUAAGGUUUUGGCAAUGGUUUAUACUAACUUAUCUCACGAGUCCUUGUUGAGUUUUGUGUGGAUGAAGCUUUUGAGAUUUAGGGAGAUCGUGAUAUGAGAGGAAUUAAGGAGACACAAAAUCUCAAGCUUGGGGAUGCCCAAGGCACCCCAAGAUAAUAUUUCAAGAAGUCUCAAGCAUCUAAGCUUGGGGAUGCCCCGGUUGGCAUCCCACCUUUCUUCUUCAACAAUUAUCGGUUAGUUUCGGUUGAUCCUAAGUUUUUGCUUCUUCACAUGAUGUUUGCCAUUCUUAGAAUGUCAUUUUAUUUUGCUUUGCUUUCUGUUUGAAUAGAAUACCAAGAUCUGAAAUUAUUAAAUGUUAGAGAGUCUUCAUAUAGUUGCAUAAUUAUUCGACUACUCAUUGAUCUUCACUUAUUUCUUUCGGAGUAGUUUAUCAUUUGCUCUAGUGCUUCACUUAUAUAUUUUUAGAGCAUGGUGGUGGUAUUAUAGAAAUAGAUGAACUCUCGUGCUUCACUUAUAUUAUUUUGAGAGUCCUAAACAGCAUGGUAGUUUGCUUAAAUAAUCCUAAUAUGCUUGGUAUUCAAAGAAUAGUUAAAAAAAUUCUUAUAGAGUAUUGAAUACUAAGAGAAGUUUGAUGCUUGAUGAUUGUUUUGAGAUAUGGAGGUAAUAAUAUCAAAGUCAUGCUAGUUGAGUAGUUGUGAAUUUGAGAAAUGCUUGUGUUGAAGUUUGCAAGUCCCGUAGCAUGCACGUAUGGUAAAUGUUGUGUAACAAAUUUGAAACAUGAGGUGUUAUUUGAUUGUCUUCCUUAUGAGUGGCGGCCGGGGACGAGCGAUGGUCUUUUCCUACCAAUCUAUCCCCCUAGGAGCAUGCGCGUAGUGCCGAGGUUUUUGAUGACUUGUAGAUUUUUGCAAUAAGUAUGUGAGUUCUUUAUGACUAAUGUUGAGUCCAUGGAUUAUACGCACUCUCACCCUUCCAUCCUUGCUAGCCUCUUCGAUACCGUGCAUUGCCCUUUCUCACAUUGAGAGUUGGCGCAAACUUCGCUGGUGCAUCCAAACCCCGUGAUAUGAUACGCUCUGUCACACAUAAACCUCCUUAUAUCUUCCUCAAAACAGCCACCAUACCUACCUAUUAUGGCAUUUCCAUAGCCAUUCCGAGAUAUAUUGCCAUGCAACUUUCCAUCAUUCCAUUCAUCAUGACACAUUCAUCAUUGUCAUAUUGCUUAGCAUGAUCAUGUAGUUGACAUAGUAUUUGUGGCAAAGCCACCGUUCAUAAUUCUUUCAUACAUGUCACUCUUGGUUCAUUGCAUAUCCCGGUACACCGUCGGAGGCAUUCAUAUAGAGUUAUCUUUGUUCUAGUAUCGAGUUGUAAUCAUUGAGUUGUAAAUAAAUAGAAGUGUGAUGAUCAUCAUUAUUAGAGCAUUGUCCCAAGUGAGGAAUAAAUAAAUAAAAGGCCAUAAAAAAGAGAAGCCCCCCCAAAAAAGAGAAAGGCCAUAAAAAAGGCCCAAAAAAUGAGAGAAAAAGAGAGAAGGGACAAUGUUACUAUCCUUUUACCACACUUGUGCUUCAAAGUAGCACCAUGAUCUUCGUAGUAGAGAGUCUCUCAUGUUAUCACUUUCAUAUACUAGUGGGAAUUUUUUAUUAUAGAACUUGGCUUGUAUAUUCCAACAAUGGGCCUCCUCAAGUGCCCUAGGUCUUCGUGAGCAAGCAAGUUGGAUGCACACCCAUUUAGUUUCUUUUGUUGAGCUUUCAUACAUUUAUAGCUCUAGUGCAUCCGUUGCAUCGCAAUCCCUACUCCUUGCAUUAACAUCAAUCGAUGGGCAUCUCCAUAGCCCAUUUAUUAGCCUUGUUGAUGUGAGACUUUAUCCUUUUUGUCUUCUACGCAUAACCCCCUCAUUAUAUUCUAUUCCACCCAUAGUGCUAUGUCCAUGGCUCGCGCUCAUAUAUUGCGUGAAAGUUUAUAGGUUUGAGAUUACUAAAGUAUGAAACAAUUGAUUGGCUUGUCAUCGGGGUUGUGCAUGAUGAGAGCAUUCUUGUGUGACGAAAAUGAAGCAUGACUAAACUAUAUGAUUUUGUAGGGAUGAACUUUCUUUGGCCAUGUUAUUUUGAGAAGACAUGAUUGCUUAGUUAGUAUGCUUGAAGUAUUACUACUUUUAUGUCAAUAUGAACUUUUGUCUUGAAUCUUUCAGAUCUGAAUAUUCAUGCCACAAUUAAGAAGAAUUACAUUGAAAUUAUGCCAAGUAGCACUCCGCAUCAAAAAUUCUGUUUUUAUCAUUUACCUACUCGAGGACGAGCAGGAAUUAACUUUGGGGAUGCUUGAUAGUCUCCAACGUAUCUAUAAUUUUUGAUUGCUCCAUGCUAUGUUAUCUACUGUUUUGGGCAAUAUUGGGCUUUAUUAUCCACUUUUAUAUUAUUUUUGGGACUAACCUAUUAACCGGAGGCCCAGCCCAGAAUUGUUGUUUUUUGCCUAUUUCAGUGUUUCGAAGAAAAGGAAUAUCAAACGAAGUCGAAACGGAACGAAAUCAACUGGAGAAGUUAUUUUUGGAAGGAAAGCUACUGGAUGGACUUGGGCCCCACGUCAGGAGCCAAGGGAGGUGCUCACGAGGGUGGGGGCGCCCCCCCUAGGGCGCGCCCCCUGCCUCGUGGGGCCCCCGAAGCUCCACCGACGUACUUCCUGCACCCAUAUAUACUCACAUACCCUAAAACUUCCCGAACAGACAAUAGAUCGGGAGUUCUGCCGCCAGAAGCCUCCGUAGCCACCAAAAACCAAUCUAGACCCGUUCUGGCACCCUGCCUUGGGGGGAAUCCUUCUCCGGUGGCCAUCUUCAUCAUCCCGGUGCUCUCCAUGAUGAGGAGGGAGUAGUUCUCCCUCGGGGCUGAGGGUAUGUACCAGUAGCUAUGUGUUUGAUCUCUCUCUCUCGUGUUCUUGAGGUGAUACGAUCUUGAUGUAUCGUGAGCUUUGCUAUUAUAGUUGGAUCCUAUGAUGUUUUCUCCCCUCUACUUUCUUGUAGUGAAUUGAGUUUCCCCUUUGAAGUUAUCUUAUCGGAUUGAGUCUUUAAAGAUUUGAGAACACUUAAUGUAUGUCUUGCCGUGCGUAUCUGUGGUGACAACGGGAUACCACGUGAUUCACUUGAUGUAUGUUUUGGUGAUCAACUUGCGGGUUCCGCCUAUGAACCUAUGCAUAGGGGUUGGCACAUGUUUUCGUCGUGAUUCUCCGGUAGAAACUUUGGGGCACUCUUUGAGGACCUUUGUGUUGGUUGAAUAGAUGAAUCUGAGAUUGUGUGACGCAUAUCGUAUAAUCAUACCCACGGAUACUUGAGGUGACAUUGGAGUAUCUAGGUGACAUUGGAGUAUCUAGGUGACAUUAGGGUUUUGGUUGAUUUGUGUCUUAAGGUGUUAUUCUAGUACAAACUCUAGGCUGUUUGUGACACUUAUAGGAAUAGCCGAACAUAUUGAUUGGAAAGAAUAACUUUGAGGUGGUUUCGUACCCUACCAUAAUCUAUUCGUUUGUUCUCCGCUAUUAGUGACUUUGGAGUGACUCUUUGUUGCAUGUUGAGGGAUAGUUAUAUGAUCCAAUUAUGUUAUUAUUGUUGAGAGGACAUGCACUAGUGAAAGUAUGAACCCUAGGCCUUGUUUCAACGCAUUGCAAUACCGUUUACGCUCACUUUUAUCAUUAGUUACCUUGCUGUUUUUAUAUUUUCAGAUUACAAAAACUAUUAUCUACUAUCCAUAUACCACUUGUAUCACCAUCUCUUCGCCGAACUAGUGCACCUAUACAAUUUACCAUUGUAUUGGGUGUGUUGGGGACACAAGAGACUCUUUGUUAUUUGGUUGCAGGGUUGCUUGAGAGAGACCAUCUUCAUCCUACGCCUCCUACAGAUUGAUAAACUUUAGGUCAUCCACUUGAGGGAAAUUUGCUACUAUCCUACAAACCUCUACACUUGGAGGCCCAACAACGUCUACAAGAAGAAGGUUGUGUAGUAGACAUCAGCUAAUAAUAUGCAAAACCCUAAGCUUGGGGAUGCUAGUUUUGUUAUGUCCUCUACUUGUUGCAAUGAUCAUGAUUGGGGUGAUUCUUCUUAUGAUCUUGAAACUUUAUUUAAGCCCCAUGAUGAAUAUGAGAUUGAUAAUAGUGUUUGAAAUAUUAUUGAAAGUGGGUUUGGAAGAGUGUCAACUUUAGAUCCCACAUAUUUUGAGAAUGUUCAAUCUUAUGAAAUUUUUGAUAAAAGUGGGUUUGGAGAUGUCAUAAUCCCACUAUGUUGGAAGAGUGUCAAUUUUGCAUGCAUGUGGAUCGUGUUGAAAAUAUUUUAUGUGAUAGCUAUUUUGUUGAAUCUUAUGAUACUACAUGUAAUUAUUAUGAGAGAGGAAAAUAUGGUGGUAGAAAUUUUCAUGUUACUAAAUUACCUCUCGUUAUGUUGAGAUUGCUAUUGUUUCUUUCCGCUUCCUUGCAUAUGCUAAUUUUUGCUUGCCUUGAUAAUUUGUUUGCCUAUAAGAUGCCUAUGCAUAGGAAGUAUGUUAGACUUAGAUGUGUUUGUCACGUGUUUUAUGAUGCUCUCUUUGUGCUUCAAUUCUUGUCUUUCAUGUGAGCAUCGUUGAAAUCUUAUGCCUAGCUAUAAGGCUUAAAAAACGCUUGUUGGGAGACAACCCAAUAUUUUUCCUUGCUCUUAUUCAAUAAAUAAUUUAUCUAGCCUCUGUUUUGGUUGUGUUUUUUGUGUUUAAUUAGUGUUUGUGCCAAGUAGAACCAUUGGGAAGACUUGGGGAAAGUCUUUUUGAUCUUGCUGUAAAAAACAGAAACGUUAGCGCUCACGAGAAUUGUUGCCAUUUUUAUUUGGAAGGUGAUAUUUAGUUAAUUCUUUUUGCAGAUGAUUAAUUGAUAAAUUACUCACGUUCAGAAGUUUAUUUUAGAAUUUUUGGGGUUUCAUAACUUGCGUUAGCUACAGAUUACUACAGACUGUUCUGUUUUUGACAGAUUCUGUUUUUUCUUGUGUUGUUUGCUUAUUUUGACGAAUCUAUGGCUAGUAAAAGAGUUUAUAAACCAUAGAGAAGUUGGAAUACAGUAGGUUUAACACCAAUAUAAAUAAAUAAUGAGUUCAUUACAGUAUCUUUAAGUGGUGUUUUGUUUUCUUUCGCUAACGGAGCUCACGAGAUUUUCUAUUUUGAGUUUUGUGUUGUGAAGUUUUCAAGUUUUGGGUAAAGAUUUGAUGGAUUAUGGAACAAAGAGUGGCAAGAGCCUGAGCUUGGGGAAUCCCAUGGUACCCCAAGGUAAAAUUCAAGUACACCAAAAAGCCUAAGCUUGGGGAUGCCCCGGAUGGCAUCCCCUCUUUCGUCUUCGUCUAUCGGUAACUUUACUUGGAGCUAUAUUUUUAUUCACCACAUGAUAUGUGUUUUGCUUGGAGAAUCUUUUAUGAUUUGAGUCUUUGCUUUUUAGUUUACCACAAUCAUACUUGCUGUACACAUCUUUUGAGAGAGACUCGCAUGAUUUGAAAUUUAUUAGAAUACUCUAUGUGCUUCUCUAAUAUCUUUUGAGCUAUAUAGUUUUUGCUCUAGUGCUUCACUUAUAUCUUUUAGAGCACGGUGGUGGAUUUGUUUUAUAGAAACUAUUGUUCUCUCAUGCUUCACUUAUAUUAUUUUGGGAGUCCCUUAGAACAACAUGGCAAUAAUAAAAACUUUCAUAUAAGUGCAUUGAAUACUAUGAGAAGUAUGAUACUUGAUUAUUGUUUUGAGAUAUGGAGAUGGUGAUAUUAGAGUCAUGCUAGUUGAGUAGUUGUGAAUUUGAGAAAUACUUGUGUUGAAGUUUGUGAUUCCCGUAGCAUGCACGUACGGUGAACCGUUAUGUGAUGAAGUCGGAGCAUGAUUUAUUUAUUGAUUGUCUUCCUUAUGGGUGGCGGUCGGGGACGAGGAUGGUCUUUUCCUACCAAUCUAUCCCCCUAGGAGCAUGCGCGUAAUACUUUGCUUUGAUAACUUGUAGAUUUUUGCAAUAAGUAUGUGAGUUCUUUAUGACUAAUGUUGAUUCCAUGGAUUAUACGCACUCUCACCCUUCCACAAUUGCUAGCCUCUCUAGUAUCAUGCAACUUUCGCCGGUACCAUAAACCCACCAUAUACCUUCCUCGAAACAGCCACCAUACCUACCUAUUAUGGCAUUUCCAUAGCCAUUCCGAGAUACAUUGCCAUGCAACUUUCCAUCGUUCCGUUAUUAUGACACGCUUCAUCAUUGUCAUAUUGCUUGCAUGAUCAUGUAGUUGACAUCGUAUUUGUGGAAAGCCACCGUUCAUAAUUCUUUCACACAUGUCACUCAUGCAUCAUUGCACAUCCCGGUACACCGCUGGAGGCAUUCACAUAGAGUCAUAUUUUGUUCUAAGUAUUGAGUUGUAAUUCUUGAGUUGUAAGUAAAUAAAGUGUGAUGACCAUCAUUAUUAGAGCAUUGUCCCAGUGAGGAAAGGAUGAUGGAGACUAUGAUUCCCCCACAAGUCGGGAUGAGACUCCAGACGAAAAAUAAAAAAGAAGAGAAAAAAGAGGCCAAAAGAGAAAAAAAGGGAGAAGGCCCAAAUUAAAAAAUGAAAAAGAGAGAAAAAGAGAGAAGGGACAAUGUUACUAUCCUUUUUCCACACUUUUGCUUCUAAGUAGCACCAUGUUGUUCAUAAAGAGAGUCUCUUUUGAUAUCACUUUCAUAUACUAGUGGGAAUUUUUCAUUAUAGAACUUGGCUUGUAUAUUUCAAUGAUGGGCUUCCUCAAAAUGCCCUAGGUCUUCGUGAGCAAGCAAGUUGGAUGCACACCCACUUAGUUUUUUUUGUUGAGCUUUCAUACACUUAUAGCUCUAGUGCAUCCGUUGCAUGGCAAUCCCUACUCACUCACAUUGAUAUCUAUUGAUGGGCAUCUCCAUAGCCUGUUGAUACGCCUAGUCGAUGUGAGACUAUCUUCUCAUUUUUUUGUCUUCUCCACAACCACCAUUCUAUUCCACCAUAGUGCUAUAUCCAUGGCUCACGCUCAUAUAUUGCGUGAAGAUUAAAAAAGUUUGAGAACAUCAAAAGUAUGAAACAAUUGCUUGGCUUGUCAUCGGGGUUGUGCAUGUUUUAAAUAUUUUGUGUGGUGAAGACAGAGCAUAGCUAGACUAUAUGAUUUUGUAGGGAUAACUUUCUUUGGCCAUGUUAUUUUGAGAAGACAUAAUUUCUUAGUUAGUAUGCUUGAAGUAUUAUUAUUUUUAUGUCAAUAUUAAACUUUUAUCUUGAAUCUUAUGGAUCUGAACAUUCAUGCCACAAUAAAGAAAAAAUACAUCGAGAAAUAUGUUAGAAAGCAUUCCACAUCAAAAAUUCUUCUUUUAUCAUUUACCUACUCGAGGACGAGCAUGAAUUAAGCUUGGGGAUGCUGAUACGUCUCCAACGUAUCUAUAAUUUUUGAUUGCUCCAUGCUAUUAUAUUAUCUAUUUUGGAUGUUAAUGGGCUUUAUUUUACACUUCUAUAUCAUUUUUGGGACUAACCUACUAACCGGAGGCCCAGCCCAAAUUGCUGUUUUUUUGCCUAUUUUAGGGUUUCGAAGAAAAGGAAUAUCAAACGGAGUCCAAAUGGAAUGAAACCUUCGGGAACGUGAUUUUCUCAACAAACGUGCUCCAGGAGACUUGGAGUGGCCGUCAAGAAACAAGGGAGGAAGGCAUGAGGCAGGGGGCGUGUCUACCCCCUGGGCGCGCCCUCCACCCUCGUGGGCCCUCCGUUGCUCCACUGACGUACUUCUUCCUCCUAUAUAUCCACGUACCCCCCAAACUGUUGGGAAACGUAAUAAUUUCAAAAUUUUCCUACGCACACACAUGAUCAUGGUGAUGCAUAGCAACGAGAGGGGAGAGUGUUGUCCACGUACCCUCGUAGACCGUUAAGCGGAAGCAUUAUGACAACACGGUUGAUGUAGUCGUACGUCUUCACGAUUGACUGAUCCUCAGUACCGAACGUAUGGCACCUCCGCGUUCAGCACACGUUCAGCUCGGUGACGUCCCAUGAACUCACGAUCCAGUAGAGCUCGUGGAAGAGUUUCGUCAGCACGACGGCGUGGGGACGAUGUUGAUGAAGUUACUGCAGCAGGGCUUCGCCUAAACACCGCUACAGUAUGACCGAGGUGGAUUAUGGUGGAAGGGGGGCACCGCACACGGCUGGGAGAGAUCUUUGUGAUCAACUUGUGUGUCUAGAGGUGCCUCCCUACCCCUAUAUAUAAAGGAGCAAGGGGGAGGCCGGCCGGCCCUUGUUGGCGCGCCUAGGAGGAGGAAUCCUCCUCCUAGUAGGAGUAGGAUUCUUCCCUUUCCUACUCCCACUAGGAGGGGGAAAGACAGGGAGAGAAAAAGAAGGAAAGGGGGAGCCGCCCCCCUUCUCCUAGUCCAAUUCGGACAGGGGGAAGGGGGCGCGCUGCCUGCCCUAGGCCAGCCCCUCUCUCUUUCCCUUAUGGCCCAACAAGGCCCAUUAGCCCCCGGGGGGUUUCGGUAACCCCUCCGGUACUCCGGUAAAAUCCCGAUUUCACCAGGAACUAUUCUGAUGUCCAAAUGUAGGCUUCCAAUAUAUCAAUCUUUAUUUAUCGACCAUUUCGAGACUCCUCGUCAUGUGCGUGAUCAAAUCCGGGACUCUGAACUAAUUUCGGUACAUCAAAACAUAUAAACUCAUAAAACUGAUUGUCACAGAACUUUAAGCGUGCGGAGCCUACGGGUUCGAGAACUAUGUAGACAUGACCGAGACACGUCUCCGGUCAAUAACCAAUACCGGAACCUGGAUGCUCAUAUUGGUUCCAACAUAUUCUACGAAGAUCUUUAUCGGUCAAACCGCACAACACUAUACGUUGUUCUCUUUGUCAUCGGUAUGUUACUUGCCCGAGAUUCGAUCGUCGGUAUCUCAAUACCUAGUUUCAAUCUCGUUACCGACAAGUCUCUUUACUCAUUCCGUAAAACAUCAUCCCAUAACUAACUCAUUAGUUAUCAUGCUUGCAAGGCUUAUAGUGAUGUGUAUUAUCGAGAGGGCCCAGAGAUACCUCUCCGACAAUCAGAGUGACAAAUCCUAAUCUUGAUCAAUGCCAACUCAACAAGUACCAUCGGAGACACCUGUAGAGCACCUUUAUAAUCACCCAGUUAUGUUGUGAUGUUUGGUAGCACACAAAGUGUUCCUCUGGUAUUCGGGAGUUGCAUAAUCUCAUAGUCAUAAGAACAUGUAUAAGUCAUGAAGAAAGCAAUAGCAGUAAACAAACGAUCAAGUGCUAAGCUAACAGAAUGGGUCAAGUCAAUCACAUCAUUCUCCUAAUGAUGUGAUACGUCUCCAACGUAUCUAUAAUUUUUGAUUGCUCCAUGCUAUAUUUUAUACUGUUUUGGACUAUAUUGGGCUUUAUUUUCCACUUUUAUAUUAUUUUUGGGACUAACCUAUUAACCGGAGGCCCAGCCCAGAAUUGCUGUUUUUUUCCUAUUUCAGUGUUUCGAAGAAACGGAAUAUCAAACGGAGUCCAAACAGAAUAAAAUCUUCGGGAACGUGAUCCAGGAGACUUGGACCCUGCUCCAAGGAACAAAAGAGGCGGUCACGAGGGUGGGGGGCGCCCCCCUGCCUCGUGGCCCCCUCGUUGCUCCUCCAGCGUACUUCUUCCUCCUAUAUAUACACACGUACCCCCAAACGAUCAGAAAAGUUGCCAAAAACCUAAUUCCACCACCGCAACUUUUUGUAUCCAUGAGAUCCCAUCUUGGGGCCUGUUCCGGAGCUUCGCCGGAAGAGGGCCGUCAUCAUGGAGGGCUUCUACAUCAUCCUAGCCCCUCCUAUGAAGUGUGAGUAGUUUACCUUAGACCUCAGGUCCAUAGUUAGUAGCUAGAUGGCUUCUUCUCUCACUUUGAAUCUCAAUACAAAGUUCUCCCCCUCUCUUGUGGAGAUCUAUUCGAUGUAAUCUUCUUUUGGCAGUGUGUUUGUUGAGACCGAUGAAUUGUGGGUUUAUGAUCAAGUCUAUCUAUGAAUAAUAUUUGAAUCUUCUCUGAAUUCUUUUAUGUAUGAUUGGUUAUCUUUGCAAGUCUCUUCGAAUUAUCCGUUUGGUUUGGCCAACUAGAUUGGUAGUUCUUUCCAUGGGAGAAGUGCUUAGCUUUGGGUUCGAUCUUGCGGUGUCCUUACCCAGUGACAGAAGGGGCAGCAAGGCACGUAUUGUAUCAUUGCCAUCGAGGAUAACAAGAUGGGGUUUAUUUCAUAUUGCAUGAAUUUAUCUCUCUGCAUCAUGUCAUCUUGCUUAAGGCGUUACUCUAUUUUUAACUUAAUACUCUAGAUGCAUGUUGGAUAGCGGUCGAUGAGUGGAGUAAUAGUAGUAGAUGCAGAAUCGUUUCAAUCUACUUGUCACGGACGUGAUGCCUAUAUACAUGAUCAUGCCUAGAUAUUCUCAUAACUAUGCUCAAUUCUGUCAAUUGCUCAACAGUAAUUUGUUCACCCACCAUAGAAUACUUAUGCUCUUGAGAGAAGCCACUAGUGAAACCUAUGGCCCCCGGGUCUAUUCUCAUCAUAUCAAUCUCCAUCACUUUAAUAUUGCUUUGUUUUUACUUUGCUUUUACUUUUUACUUUGCAUCUUUAUACCAAAAAUACCAAAACUAUUAUAUCUAUCAGAUCUCACUCUCGUAAGUGACUGUGAAGGGCUUGACAACCCCUAAUCGCGCUGGUUGCGAGUAGCUAUCGCUUUGUGCAGGUACGAGGGACUUGAGCGUGGGCUCGUACUGGAUUGAUACCUUGGUUCUCAAAAACUGAGGGAAAUACUUACGCUACUAUGCUGCAUCAUCCCUUCUUCUUCGGGGAAAACCAAUGCAAGCUCAAGACGUAGAAAGAAGGAUUUCUGGCACCGUUGCCGGGGAGUCUACGCAAAAAGUCAACAUACCAAGUACCCAUCACAAUCCCUAUCUCUCGCAUUACAUUAUUUGCCAUUUGCCUCUCGUUUUCCUCUCCCCCCAAUUCACCCUUGCCGUUUUAUUCGCCCUCUCUCUCCCUAUCCUCCCUCUCUAUUUGCCCUUUUUGCCCGUUUGCUUUUGUUUGCUUGUGUGCUAGUUUGCUUGCUUGUCACGAUGGCUCAAGAUACUACUAAAUUGUGUGACUUCACCAAUACCAAUAAUAAUGAUUUCCUUAGCACUCCGAUUGCUCCUCUUACUGAUGCUGAAUCUUGUGAAAUUAAUACUACUUUGUUGAAUCUUGUUAUGAAAGAUCAAUUCGCCGGCCUUCCUAGUGAAGAAGCCGCUACUCAUCUGAAUAGCUUCGUUGAUUUAUGUGAUAUGCAAAAGAAAAAAGAUGUCAAUAAUGAUGUCUUUAAAUUGAAUCUAUUUCCUUUUUCACUUAGAGAUCGUGCUAAAGCUUGGUUUUCGUCUUUGCCUAAGAAUAGUAUUGAUUCAUGGAACAAGUGCAAAGAUGCUUUUAUCUCUAAGUAUUUUCCUCCCGCUAAGAUCAUCUCUCUUAGAAACGAUAUUAUGAACUUUAAACAACUUGAUCAUGAACAUGUUGCACAAGCUUGGGAGAGAAUGAAAUUAAUGAUACGUAAUUGCCCUACUCAUGGUUUGAAUUUGUGGAUGAUUGUACAAAAAAAAUUAUGCCGGAUUGAAUUUUGCUUCUAGAAAUCUUUUAGAUUCGGCCGCGGGAGGCACUUUUACGGAAAUCACUUUAGGAAAUGCUACUAAACUCCUAGAUAAUAUUAUGGUUAAUUAUUCUCAAUGGCAUACUGAAAGAUCUUCUAAUAAAAAAGUGCAUGCGAUAGAAGAAAUUAAUGUGUUGAGUGGAAAGAUGGAUGAACUUAUGAAAUUAUUUGCCACUAAGAGUGUUUCUUAUGAUCCUAAUGAUAUGUAUUUGUCUACUUUGAUUGAGAACAAUAAUGAAUCUAUGGAUGUGAAUUUUGUUGGUAGGAAUAAUUUUGGUAACAACACUUAUAGAGGGAAUUUUAAUCCUAGGCCAUAUCCUAGUAAUCCUUCUAAUAAUUAUGGGAAUUCCUACAACAACUCUUAUGGAAAUUAUAAUAAGAUGCCCUCUGAAUUUGAGAAUAGUGUUAAAGAGUUCAUGAAUUCACAAAAGAAUUUUAAUGCUUUGCUUGAGGAGAAAUUGCUUAAAGUUGAUGAUUUGGCUAGAAACAUUGAUAGAAUUUCUCUUGAGGUUGAUUCUUUAAAGCUUAGAUCUAUUCCUCCUAAGCAUGAUAUCAAUGAGUCUCUCAAAUCCAUGAGAAUUUCCAUUGAUGAGUGCAAGGAAAGAACCGCUAGGAUGCGUGCCUCCAAAGAUGCCUCUAUUAAAGCGUGUUCUUCCAAUACCUAUGAAAAUCAAGAUGAAGAUCUAAAAGUUAUUGAUGUGUCCCCUAUUAAAUCUUUAUUUUUCAAUAUUAAUCUUGAUGAAGCUGAAUAUGAUCUUCCUUUACCUAGAAGGCGUUCUAAAAAUUCGGAGUGUUUAGAUCUUAAUGAUGAAAUUGAUGAAAGUGGGAUUGAAAGAAAUAAAAAUCUAGAUGUUGCUAAACCCACUAUAUUGGAUUUCAAGGAAUUUAAUUAUGAAAGUUACUCUUUAAUUGAUUGUAUUUUCUUGUUGCAAUCCGUGCUAAAUUCUCCACAUGCUUAUAGUCAAAAUAAAGCCUUCACCGAACAUAUUGUUGAUGCCUUGAUGCAAUCUUAUGAAGAAAAACUUGAGUUGAAAGUUUCUAUCCCUAGAAAACUCUAUGAUGAGUGGGAACCAACUAUUAAAAUUAAAAUUAAAGAUCAUGAGUUUUAUGCUUUGUGUGAUUUGGGUGCUAGUGUCUCUACUAUUCCCAAGACUUUGUGUGAUUUAUUAGAUUUCCGUAAUUUUGAUGAUUGCUCUCUAAACUUGCAUCUUGUGGAUUCCACUAUUAAGAAACCUAUGGGAAGGAUUAAUGAUGUUCUUAUUGUUGCAAAUAGGAAUUAUGUGCCCGUAGAUAGCAUUGUUCUUGAUAUAGAUUGCAAUCCUUCUUGCCCUAUUAUUCUUGGUAGACCUUUCCUUAGAACGUUUGGUGCGAUUAUUGAUAUGAAGGAAGAGAAUAUUAGAUUUAAACUUCCAUUAAAAAAGGGCAUGGAACACUUUCCAAGAAAGAAAAUAAAAUUACCAUAUGAAACUAUCAUGAUAGCCACUUAUGGAUUGCCUACCAAAGAUGGCAAUACCUAGAUCUAUCCUCGCUUUUAUGCCUAGCUAGGGGCGUUAAACGACAGCGCUUGUUGGGAGGCAACCCAAUUUUAUUUUUACUCCUUGCCUUUUGCUCCUGUUUAGUAAUAAAUAAAUUAUUUAGCCUCUUUUUUGGUUGUGUUUUUUGUGUUUAAUUAGUGUUUGUGCCAAGUAGAACCGUUGGGAAGACUUGGGGAAAGUCUUGUUGAACUUGCUGUAAAAAACAGAAACUUUAGCGCUCACGAGAACUGCUGUCAUUUUUAUUUGAAGAGUGAUAUAUAGUUAAUUCUUUUUGCAGAUGAUUAAUAUAUAAAUUACUCACGUCCAGAAAUUUAUUUUAGAAUUUUUGGGGUUCCAGAUAUUGCGCUAGCUACAGAUUACUACAGACUGUUCUGUUUUUGACAGAUUCUGUUUUUCGUGUGUUGUUUGCUUAUUUUGAUGAAUCUAUGGCUAGUAAAAUAGUUUAUAAUCCAUAGAGAAGUUGGAAUACAGUAGGUUUAACACCAAUAUAAAUAAAGAAUGAGUUCAUUACAGUACCUUGAAGUGGUCUUUUGUUUUCUUUCGCUAACGGAGCUCACGAGUUUUCUAUUUUGAGUUUUGUGUUGUGAAGUUUUCAAGUUUUGGGUGAAUUCUUUUGAUGGAUCAUGGAACAAGGAGUGGAAAGAGCCUAAGCUUGGGGAUGCCCAUGUCACCACCAAGAUAAUCCAAGGACACCAAAAAGUCAAAGCUUGGGGAUGCCCCAGAAGGCAUCCCCUCUUUCGUCCACUUCCAUCGGUAAUUUACUUGGAGCUAUAUUUUUAUUCACCAACAUGAUAUGUGUUUUGCUUGGAGCGUCUUGUAUUAUUUGUGUCUUUGUGUCUUAGUAUACCACAAUAAUCCUUGCUGUAUACACCUUUUGAGAGAGCCAUACAUGAAUUAAAAUUUUAUAGAAUACUCUAUGUGUUUCACUUAUAUCUUUUGAGCUAAGUAAUUUUGCCCUAUGUGCUUCACUUAUAUCUUUUGAGCUAAGUAAUUUUGCUCUAUAUGCUUCACUUAGAUCUUUUAGAGCACGGUGGUGGAUUCGUUUUAAAGAAAAUAUUGAUCUCUCAUGCUUCACUUAAAUUAUUUUGAGAGUCUCUUAAUAGCAUGGUAAUUUGCUUAAUAAUAAUAUGGUUGGUAUUCAAGAUUUAUGAAACUUUCUUUUGAGUGUGUUGAAUACUAAGAAAAGAUUGAAGCAUGAUAAUUGUUUUGAGAUAUGGAGGUGAUAAUAUUAAAGUCAUGCUAGUUGAGUAGUUGUGAAUUUAAAGAAUACUUGUGUUAAGGUUUGUGAUUCCCGUAGCAUGCACGUAUGGUGAACCGUUAUGUAACGAAGUCGGAGCAUGAUUUAUUUAUUUAUUGUCUUCCUUAUGAGUGGAGGUCGGGGACGAGCGAUGGUCUUUUCCUACCAAUCUAUCCCCCUAGGAGCAUGCGCGUAAUACUUUGCUUUGAUAACUUCUAGAUUUUUGCAAUAAGUAUAUGAGUUCUUUAUGACUAAUGUUGAGUCCAUGGAUUAUACGCACUCUCACCCUUCCACCUUUGCUACCCUCUCUAAUACCGCGCACCUUUCGCCGGUAUCAUACACCUACCAUAUACCUUCCUCAAAACAGCCACCAUACCUACCUAUUAUGGCAUUUCCAUAGCCAUUCUGAGAUAUAUUGCCAUGCAACCUUCCACCAUCUAGUUCAUCAUGACACAUUCAUCAUUGUCAUAUUGCUUAGCAUGAUCAUGUAGUUGACAUAAGUAUUUGUGGCAAAGCCACCGUUCAUAAUUUCUUCAUACUUGUCACUCUUGAUUCAUUGCAUAUCCCGGUACACCGCCGGAGGCAUCCAUAUAGAGUCAUACUUUGUUUUACAAUCGAGUUGUAAUCAUUGAGUUGUAAAUAAAUAAAAGUGUGAUGAUCAUCAUUCAAUAGAGCAUUGUCCCAAUAAAUAAAAGGAGAAAGGCCAAAGAAAAAAAAGAAGCCCCCCCCCCAAAAAAAGAAAAUAAAUAAAAAGGGGCAAUGCUACUAUCCUUUUUCCACACUUGUGCUUCAAAGUAGCACCAUGAUAUAGCGAGUCUCAUAUAUUGUGCUUCAAAGUAGCACCAUGUCCUUCAUAUAGAGAGUCUCAUAUGUUGUCACUUUCAUAUACUAGUGGGAAUUUUACAUUAUAGAACUUGGCUUGUAUAUUCCAAUAAUGGGCUUCCUCAAAUUGCCCUAGGUCUUCGUGAGCAAGCAAGUUGGAUGCACACCCACUAGUUUCUCUUGUUGAGCUUUCAUACACUUAUAGCUCUAGUGCAUCCGUUGCAUGGCAAUCCCUACUCACUCACAUUGAUAUCUAUUGAUGGGCAUCUCCAUAGCCCAUUGAUAUGCCUAGAUGAUGUGAGACUAUCUUCCCCUCCUUUUUGUCUUCUCCACAACCACCAUUCUAUUCCACCUAUAAUGCUAUAUCCAUGGCUCACGCUCAUGUAUUGCGUGAAGAUUGAAAAAGUUUUGAAAAAGUUAGAGUAUGAAACAAUUUCUUGGCUUGUCAUCAGGGUUGUGCAUGAUUUGAAUAGUUUGUGUGGUGAAGAUGGAGCAUAGCCAGACUAUAUGAUUUUGUAGGGAUAACUUUCUUUGGCCAUGUUAUUUUGAGAAGACAUAAUUGCUUUGUUAGUAUGCUUGAAGUAUUAUUAUUUUUAUGUCAAUAUAAACUUUUGUCUUGAAUCUUUCUAAUCUGAAUAUUCAUACCACAAUUAAGAAGAUUUGCAUUGAAAAUUAUGCCAAGUAGCACUCCGCAUCAAAAAUUCUCUUUUUAUCAUUUACCUACUCGAGGACGAGCAGGAAUUAAGCUUGGGGAUGCCUGAUACGUCUCCAACGUAUCUAUAAUUUUUGAUUGCUCCAUGCUAUAUUUUCUACUAUUUUGGACUAUAUUGGGCUUUAUUUUCCACUUCCAUAUUAUUUUUGGGACUAACCUAUUAACCAGAGGCCCAGCCCAGAAUUGUUGUUUUUUGCCUAUUUCAGUGUUUCGAAGAAACGGAAUAUCAAACGGAGUCCAAACGGAAUAAAAUCUUCGGGAACGUGAUUUUCUCACCGAACAUGAUCCAGGAGACUUGGACCCUGCUCCAAGGAACAAAAGAGGCGGUCACGAGGGUGGGGGUGCCCCCCUAGGGCGCACCUCCUUGCCUCGUGGGCCCCUCGUUGCUCCUUCGGCGUACUUCUUCCUCCUAUAUAUACACACGUACCCCCAAACGAUCAGAACAGGAGCCAAAAACCUAAUUCCACCGCCGCAACUUUCUGUAUCCACGAGAUCCCAUCUUGGGGCCUGUUCCGGAGCUCCGCCGGAAGAGGACCGUCAUCACGGAGGGCUUCUACAUCAUCCUAGCCCCUCCGAUGAAGUGUGAGUAGUUUACCUCAGACCUUCGGGUCCAUAGUUAGUAGCUAGAUGGCUUCUUCUCUCUCUUUGAAUCUCAAUACAAAGUUCUCCCCCUCUCUUGUGGAGAUAUAUUCGAUGUAAUCUUCUUUUUGCGGUGUGUUUGUUGAGACCGAUGAAUUGUGGGUUUAUGAUCAAGUCUAUCUAUGAAUAAUAUUUGAAUCUUCUCUGAAUUCUUUUAUGUAUGAUUGGUUAUCUUUGCAAGUCUCUUCGAAUUAUCCAUUUGGUUUGGCCAACUAGAUUGGUAGUUCUUGCCAUGGGAGAAGUGCUUAGCUUUGGGUUCGAUCUUGCGGUGUCCUUACCCAGUGACAGAAGGGGCAGUAAGGCACGUAUUGUAUCGUUGCCAUCGAGGAUAACAAGAUAGGGUUUAUUUCAUAUUGCAUGAAUUUAUCUCUCUACUUCAUGUCAUCUUGCUUAAGGCGUUACUCUGUUUUUAACUUAAUACUCUAGAUGCAUGCUGGAUAGCGGUCGAUGAGUGGAGUAAUAGUAGUAGAUGCAGAAUCGUUUCAAUCUACUUGUCACGGACGUGAUGCCUAUAUACAUGAUCAUGCCUAGAUAUUCUCAUAACUAUGCUCAAUUUUGUCAAUUGCUCAACAGUAAUUUGUUCACCCACCAUAGAAUACUUAUGCUCUUGAGAGAAGCCACUAGUGAAACCUAUGGCCCCGGGUCUAUUCUCAUCAUAUCAAUCUCCAUCACUUUAAUCUUGCUUUAUUUUUACUUUGCUUUUACUUUUUGCUUUGCAUCUUUAUACCAAAAAUAUUAUAUCUAUCAGAUCUCACUCUUGUAAGUGACCGUGAAGGGCUUGAAAACCCCUAAUCGUGUUGGUUGCGAGUAGCUAUCGCUUUGUGCGGGUACGAGGGACUUGAGCAUGGGCUCCUACUGGAUUGAUACCUUGGUUCUCAAAAACUGAGGGAAAUACUUACGCUACUCUGCUGCAUCAUCCCUUCCUCUUCGAGGAAAACCAAUGCAAGCUCAAGAGGUAGCAUGAUGUGACCCCAUUGAUCAAAUAACAACUCUUGUCUAUGGUUAGGAAACUUAACCAUCUUUGAUCAAUGAGCUAGUCAAGUAGAGGCAUACUAGUGACACUAUGUUUGUCUAUGUAUUCACACAUGUAUUAUUUUUCUGGUUAAUACAAUUCUAGCAUGAAUAAUAAACAUUUAUCAUCUAAUAAGGAAAUAAAUAAUAACUUUAUUAUUGCCUCUAGGGCAUAUUUCCUUCACAAACAUCCAGGAGCACCACGAAAACCUAAUUCCACCGCCGCAACCUUCUGUACUCGAGAGAUCCCAUCUCGGGGCCUUUUCUGGAGCUCCACCGGAGGGGGCAUUGAUAACGGAGGGCCUCUACAUCAACUCCAUGGCCUCUCCGGUGAUGUGUGAGUAGUUUACUUCAGACCUACGGGUCCAUAGUUAUUAGCUACAUGGCUUCUUCUCUCUCUUUGGAUCUCAAUACAAGGUUCUCCUCGAUUUUCUUGGAGAUCUAUUCGAUGUAAUCUUCUUUUGCAGUGUGUUUGUCGAGAUCCGAUGAAUUGUGGGUUUAUGAUCCAGAUUAUCUAUGAACAAUAAUUGAUUCUCCUCUAAAUUCUUUUAUGUAUGAUUGGUUUAUCUUUGCAAGUCUCUUCGAAUUAUCAAUUUGGUUUGGCCUACUAGAUUGAUCUUUCUUGCAUUGGGAGAAGUGCUUAGCUUUGGGUUCAAUCUUGCGGUGUUCGAUCCCAGUGACAGAAAGGGAACCGAUACGUAUUGUAUUGUUGCCACCGAGGAUAAAAAGAUGGGGUUUAUAUCAUAUUGCAUGAGUUUAUCCAUCUACAUCAUGUCAUCUUCCUUAAAGCAUUACUUUGUUCUCUUGAACUUAAUACUCUAGAUGCAUGCUGGAUAGCGGCCGAUGUGUGGAGUAAUAGUAGUAGAUGCGGGCAGGAGUUGGUCUACUUGUCUCAGAUGUGAUGCCUAUAUACAUGAUCAUACCUAGAUAUUCUCAUAACUAUGCUCAAUUCUAUCAAUUGCUCGACAGUAAUUCGUUUACCCACCGUAAUACUUAUGCUCUUGAGAGAAGCCACUAGUGAAACCUAUGGCCCCCGGGUCUAUCUUCCAUCAUAUUAAUCUUCCAAUACUUAGUUAUUUCCUUUGCCAUUUAUUUUACUUUGCAUCUUUAUUUCUCUUUAUCAUAAAAAUACCAAUAAUAUUAUCUUAUCAUAUCUAUCAGAUCUCACUCUCGUAAGUGACCGAGAAGGGCUUGACAACCCCUUUAUCGCGUUGGUUGCGAGGUUCUUAUUUGUUUGUGUAGGUGCAUGGGACUUGAGCAUGAUCUCCUACUGGAUUGAUACCUUGGUAACUGAGGGAAAUACUUAUGCUGCUUUACUGCAUCACCAUUUUCUCUUCAAGGGAAAACCAACGCAGUGCUCAAGAGGUAGCAAACCUCACCAUCCUGAAGCCAUUAGCAGCAUGAUAAUUGGUCUCUCUCUUUUCCCAGUGGGAUUUGACCUCUCUGGGGUGAUCUGCUUCUUCAUGUGUGGCGAGCACUCUGGUAGUCAGGCCAUGUGUGGAGGCCAAGGAUAUCGGCAACUGACAGUGUCAUACAUCAGGGGUGGCUCAUUUGAGGGAGCCCGCCCUCACACUCCACCAGGGCCCACAAGGACCAAGACAGGGGUGAAACCCUAAGGAGGGCGCCGAAGACCUUCUUGUCUACCAAGGCAAGGGUGGCGGCGGAGGAGAUCACAUCUACCUCUCUGUAAACCCUAGACCUUGAUAGAUUGCAACUAAACAUGGUUUGAAUUCUAAGAAUGCCUUUCACUUAAUCAAGUAUGGUUCUUCAAUUUUAUUGACGUGGAUGCUGCCAUUGAUAGCCAGUUUGUAGUUAUUGUUGUGAGGGAAGUUUCUUGGGUCAUUCUAAUUCAGAUAUAGCACAUUUUUAGUUUUUCAAAGAAAGAAGUCGACUCUAUCAACAUGUUGGUUAUUCCUAGUACACGUCUAUUGAAAAUAUGCCCUAGAGGCGAUAAUAUUUUGUAUUAUUAUAUUCUCAUAUUCAUAAUUAUAGAGAUUAUAUUUCAUGCUAUAACUGCUAUGAUCCUGGAAUAUGCGAUUCAGUGGAAAAAUCAUAUGCAUGAUAAAAAGUUAAAUAAAAGGUACCUAGUCUUGCCUAUAGGACUAGCUCAAGUGUUGUUGGUGAUCACGUUUUCUGAAUCUUAGGAUAUCAUUAAGUGUAACGAUAGUCCUAAAACAACAUUGAGAUUAUGAUGUUGGAAGAACGAUCAUAUUGAAUCGACCCAAUCUUGUAUGUUAUGAAUUGAGUGUUGGGGAUCGUAGCAGAAAUUUAAAAUUUUCUACGCAUCACCAAGAUCAAUCUAUGGAGUAGUCUAGCAACGAGGGGAAGAUGAGUGCAUCUACAUACCCUUGUAGAUUGCUAAGCGGAAGCGUUCAAGCAAACGGGGUUGAUGGAGUCGUACUCGUCGUGAUCCAAAUCACCGAUGUAGCGCCGAAUGGACGGCACCUCCGCGUUCAACACACGUACGGAACGGAGACGUCUCCCACGCCUUAAUCCAGCAAGGAGGAGGGAGAGGUUGAGGAAGGGAGUCCAACAACAGCACGAUGGCGUGGUGGUGAUGGAGCUCGUGGUUCUCCAGCAGGGCUUCGCCAAGCACUAUGGAGGAGGAGGAGGUGUAGGAGGAGGGAGGGCUGCGCCAGGUUCAAGGGUGUGGCCUCCCUCCCACCCCUCCACUAUUUAUAGGUGGGGAGAGAGGGGGGCUGGCCCCCUUAGAUCCCAUCUAGGGUUGGGGGCGGCGGCCAAGGGGGGGAGGAGUGCCUCCCAAGUCAAGUGGAGGCCCUCCCCCUUAGGGUUUCCCCUCUCCCAUGCGCAUGGGCCUUGGGGGGGCUGGUGCCCUUGGCCCAUUAAGGUUAGGGCGCCCCCCUACAGCCCAUGCUGCUGUAUUGGACGUGGUGGAACAUUUUCCGGACCUCCGGACCCCUCCGGAAUCCUCCGGAACCUUCCGGAAGCUUCCCGGUACAAUACCGGAAAAAACCGAACUUUUCCCGGAACCCGAACAACAACUUUCCAUAUAUAAAUCUUUACCUCCGGACCAUUCCGUAACUCCUCGUGACGUCCGGGAUCUCAUCCGGGACUCCGAACAACAUUCGGUAAUCACAUACAAGUCUUCCUAAUAACCCUAGCGUCAUCGAACCUUAAGUGUGUAGACCCUACGGGUUCGGGAACCAUGCAGACAUGACCGAGACAACUCUUCGGCCAAUAACCAACAUCGGGAUCUGGAUACCCAUGUUGGCUCCCACAUGUUCCAUGAUGAUCUCAUCGGAUGAACCUCGAUGUCGAGGAUUCAAUCAAUCCCGUAUUCAAUUCCCUUUGUCCAGCGGUAUUGUACUUGCCCGAGAUUCGAUCGUCGGUAUCCCGAUACCUUGUUCAAUCUCGUUACCGGUAAGUCUCUUUACUCAUUCCGUAACACAUCAUCCCAUGAUCAACUCCUUGGUCACAUUGUGCACAUUAUGAGGAUGUCCUACCGAGUGGGCCCAGAGAUACCUCUCCGUUUACACGUAGUGACAAAUCCCAAUCUCGAUUCGUGCCAACCCAACAGACACUUUCGGAGAUACCUGUAGUGAACCUUUAUAGCCACCCAGUUACGUUGUGACGUUUGGUACACCCAAAGCACUCCUACGAUAUCCGGGAGUUGCACAAUCUCAUGGUCUAAGGAAAUGAUACUUGACAUUAGAAAAGCUUUAGCAUACGAACUACACGAUCUUUGUGCUAGGCUUAGGAUUGGGUCUUGUCCAUCACAUCAUUCUCCUAAUGAUGUGAUCCCGUUAUCAACGACAUCCAAUGUCCAUGGUCAGGAAACCGUAACCAUCUAUUAAUCAACGAGCUAGUCAACUAGAGGCUUACUAGGGACAUGGUGUUGUCUAUGUAUCCACACAUGUAUCUGAGUUUCCUAUCAAUACAAUUCUAGCAUGGAGAGUAAACGAUUGUCAUGAACAAUGAAAUAUAAUAUAAUAAUAACUAAUUUAUUAUUGCCUCUAGGGCAUAUUUCCAACAGUCUCCCACUUGCACUAGAGUUAAUAAUCUAGUUCACAUCGCCAUGUGAUUAACACUAACAGGUCACAUCGCCAUGUGACCAACAUCCAAGAGUCUACUAGACUCAAUGAUCUAGUUCACAUCACUGUGUGAUAAACACUCAAAGAGUUCUGGGUUUGAUCAUGUUAUGCUUGUGAGAGAGGUUGUAGUCAACGGGUCUUGCCAUAUUCAGAUCCCUAUGUAUUUCGCAAAACUUUAUGCCAUAUCAUAGAUGCUGCUACCACGUUCCACUUGGAGCUAUUCCAAAUUGUGGCUCCAUUAUACGUAUCCGGUAUCUCUACUCAGAGCUAUCCGGAUAGGUGUUAAGCUUGCAUCGACAUAACUCUUUAUGUCGAACUCUUUAUCACCUCCAUAACCGAGAAACAUUUCCUUAUUCCUCUAAGGAUAAUUUUUGACCGCUAUUUGGUGAUCUACUCCUAGAUCACCUUUGUACCCUCUUGCCAGACAUAUGGCAAGGCACACAUCAGGUGCGGUACUUCAGCAUGGCAUACCGUAUAGAGCCUAUGACAAAAGCAUAGGGGACGACCUUCGUCCUUCCUCUUUCUUCUGUCGUGGUCAAUCUUUGAGUCUUACUCAACUUCACACCUUACAACUCAGGUAAGAACCCUUCUUUGACUGAUCUAUUUUGAACUCCUUCAAAAACAUGUCAAGGUGUGCGUUCUUUGAAAGUAUCAUCAGGCGUCUUGAUCUAUCUCUAUAGAUCUUGAUGCCCAAUAUGUAAGCAGCUUUAUCCAGGUCUUCCUUUGAAAAACACUCUUCAAACAACCGUUUAUGCUUUCCAGAAAUUCUACAUUAUUUCGGAUCUACAAUAUGUCAUCCACAUAUACUUAUCAGAAAUGUUGUAGUGCUCCCACUCACUUUCUUGUAAAUACAAGUUUCUAACAAACAUUGUAUAAACCUAAAAGCUUUGAUCACUCCAUCAAAGCAUAUAUUCUGACUCCGAGAUGCUUGCUCUAGUCCAUAGAAGGAUCGCUGGGCCAGCAUACCUUUUAGCAUCCUUAGGAUCGACAAAACUUUGAUUGUAUCACAUACAACUCUUUGUUACGAAAACUUGGUAAGAAAACUUGUUUUCACAUCCAUCUGUAAGAUUUCAUAAUCGAAAAAUACAGCUAAUGCUAACAUGAUUCCGACGGACUUAAGCAUCGCUACAGGUGAGAAAUUCUCAUCAUAUUCAACUCCUUGAACUUGUGAAAAGAAUUUUUCCCACAAGUUGAGCUUCAUAGACGGUAACCGCCCAUGUCCGUCUUCUUCUUAAAGAUCCAUUUAUCUCAAUGGCUUGCCGAUGAUCGGGCAAGUCCACCAAAGUCCAUACUUUGUUCUGAUAUAUGGAUCCUAUCUCGGAUUUCAUGGCUUCUAACCAUUUGUCAGAAUACGGGCCCACCAUCGCUUCUCCAUAGCUCGUAGGUUCAUUGUUGUCUAACAACAUGAUAUCUAAGACAGGAUUACCGUACCACUUAGGAGUAGUACAUAUCCUUGUCGACCUACGAGGUUCGAUGGCAACUUGAUCCGAAGCUUCAUGAUCACUAUCAUUAACUUCCUAUUCAACAGAUGUAGGCGCCACAGAAAACAUCUUUCUGUGUUGCAUCACUCUCUGGUUGAAGUAAAGGUUCGACAACCUCAUCAAGUUCUAUCUUCCUCCCACUCAAUUCUUUCGAGAGAAACUCCUUCUCGAGAAAGGACCCGUUCUUAGCGACAAACAAUUUGCCCUCGGAUCUGAGAUAGAAGGUAUACCCAAAUGUCACCCUUGGGUAUCCUAUGAAGAUGUGUUUGUCCGCUUUGGGUUCGAGCUUCUUCGGCUGAAGCCUUAAGCAUCGCAGCCCCAAACAUUAAGAAACGACAACUUUGGUUUCUUGCCAAACCAAUGUGUUGGGGAACGUAGUAAUUUCAAAAAAUUUCCUACGCACACGCAAGAUCAUGGUGAUGCAUAGCAACGAGAGGGGAGAGUGUGAUCUACGUACCCUUGUAGACCGACAGCGGAAGCGUUAGCACAACGCGGUUGAUGUAGUCCUACGUCUUCACGGCCCGACCGAUCAAGCACCGAAACUACGGCACCUCUGAGUUCUAGCACACGUUCAGCUCGAUGACGAUCCCCGGACUCUGACCCAACAAAGUGUCGGGAAAGAGUUCUAUCAGCACGAUGGCGUGGUGACGAUCUUGAUGUACUACCGUCGCAGGGCUUCGCCUAAGCACCGCUAGAAUAUUAUCGAGGAUUAUGGUGGAAGGGGGAACCGCACACGGCUAAGAAUAUGAUCACGUGGAUCAACUUGUGUGUCUAUGGGGUGCCCCCUGCCCCCGUAUAUAAAGGAUCAAGGGAAGGAGGCCGGCCGGCCCCUAUGGCGCGCCAAGGAGGAGUCCUCCUCCUAGUAGGAGUAGGACUCCUACUAGGAGGGGGAAAGAAGUGGGGAGGGAGAAGGAAAGGGGGGCGCCGCCCCCCCUCUCCUAGUCCAAUUCGGACCAGGGGGAGGAGGCACGCGGCCCACCCUGGCUGCCCCUCUCUCUCUCCACUAAGGCCGAUAUGGCCCAUUACUUCUCCUGGGGGGGGGGUUCCGGUAACCCUCCGGCUCUUCGGUUUUCUCUGAAAUCACCCGAAACACUUCCGAUGUCCGAAUAUAGCCGUCCAAUAUAUCAACCUUUAUGUCUCGACCAUUUCGAGACUCCUCGUCAUGUCCGUGAUCACAUCCGGGACUCCGAACUAACUUCGGUACAUCAAAACUCAUAAACUCAUAAUAUAACUGUCAUCGAAACCUUAAGCGUGCAGACCCUACGGGUUCGAGAACCAUGUAGACAUGACCGAGACACGUCUCCGGUCAAUAACCAAUAACGGAACCUGGAUGCUCAUAUUGGCUCCUACAUAUUCUAUGAAGAUCUUUAUCGGUCAGACCGCAUAACAACAUAUGUUGUUCCCUUUGUCAUCGGUAUGUUACUUGCCCGAGAUUCGAUCGUCGGUAUCUCAAUACCUAGUUCAAUCUCGUUACCGGCAAGUCUCUUUACUCGUUUCGUAAUACAUCAUCUUGCAACUAACUCAUUAGUUAUAAUGCUUGCAAGGCUUAUGUGAUGUGCAUUACCGAGAGGGCCCAGAGAUACCUCUCCGACAAUCGGAGUGACAAAUCCUAAUCUCGAAAUACGCCAACCCAACAUUCACCUUUGGAGACACCUGUAGAGCUCCUUUAUAAUCACCCAAUUACGUUGUGACGUUUGGUAGCACACAAAGUGUUCCUCCGGUAAAUGGGAGUUGCAUAAUCUCAUAGUCAUAGGAACAUGUAUAAGUCAUAAAGAAAGCAAUAGCAACAUACUAAACGAUCGGGUGCUAAGCUAAUGGAAUGGGUCAUGUCAAUCACAUCAUUCUCCUAAUGAUGUGAUCCCAUUAAUCAAAUGACAACACAUGUCUAUGGUUAGGAAACAUAACCAUCUUCGAUUAACGAGCUAGUCAAGUAGAGGCAUACUAGUGACGUUUGGUUUGUCUAUGUAUUCACACAAGUAUUAUGUUUCCGGAUAAUACAAUUCUAGCAUGAAUAAUAAAAAUUUAUCAUGAUAUAAGGAAAUAAAAUAAUAGCAUUAUUAUUGCCUCUAGGGCAUAUUUCCUUCAGUAUCCCACUUGCACUAGAGUCAAUAAUCUAGAUUACACAGUAAUGAUUCUAACACCCAUGGAGCUUUGGUGUUGAUCAUGUUUUGCUCCUGGAAGAGGCUUAGUCAACGGGUCUGCUACAUUCAGAUCCGUAUGUAUCUUGCAAAUCUCUAUGUCUCCCACCUGGACCAGAUCCAAGAUGGAAUUGAAGCAUCUCUUGAUGUGCUUGGUUCUCUUGUGAAAUCUGGAUUCCUUUGCCAAGGCAAUUGCACCAGUAUUGUCACAAAAGAUUUUCAUUGGACCCGAUGCACUAGGUAUGACACCUAGAUCGGAUAUGAACUCCUUCAUCCAGACUCCUUCGUUUGCUGCUUCCGAAGCAGCUAUGUACUCCGCUUCACAUGUAGAUCCCGCCACAACGCUUUGUUUAGAACUGCACCAACUAACAGCUCCACGGUUUAAUGUAAACACAUAUCCGAUUUGCAAUUUAGAAUCGUCCGGAUCAGUGUCAAAGCUUGCAUCAAUGUAACCAUUUACGAUGAGCUCUUUGUCACCUCCAUAUAUGAGAAACAUAUCCUUAGUCCUUUUCAGGUGUUUCAGGAUGUUCUUGACCGCUGUCCAGUGAUCCACCCCUGGAUUACUUUGGUACCUCCCUGCCAGACUUAUAGCAAGACACACAUCAGGUCUGGUACACAGCAUUGCAUACAUGAUAGAGCCUAUGGCUGAAGCAUAGGGAACAUCUUUCAUUUUCUCUCUAUCUUCUGCAUUGGUCGGACUUUGAGUCUUACUCAAUUUCACACCUUGUAACACUGGCAAGAAUCCUUUCUUUGCUUGAUCCAUUUUGAACUUUUUCAAAACUUUGUCAAGGUAUGUGCUUUGUGAAAGUCCAAUUAAGCGUCUCGAUCUGUCUCUAUAGAUCUUGAUGCCCAAUAUGUAGGCAGCUUCACCGAGGUCUUUCAUUGAAAAACUUUUAUUCAAGUAUCCUUUUAUGCUAUCCAGAAAUUCUAUAUCAUUUCCGAUUAGUAAUAUGUCAUCUACAUAUAAUAUCAGAAAUGCUACAGAGCUCCCACUCACUUUCUUGUAAAUACAGGCUUCUCCAAAAGUCUGUAUAAAACCAAAUGCUUUGAUCACACUAUCAAAGCGUUUAUUCCAACUCCGAGAGGCUUGCACCAGUCCAUAAAUGGAUCGCUGGAGCUUGCACACUUUGUUAGCUCCCUUUGGAUCGACAAAACCUUCCGGCUGCAUCAUAUACAACUCUUCUUGCAGAAAUCCAUUCAGGAAUGCAGUUUUGACAUCCAUUUGCCAAAUUUCAUAAUCAUAAAAUGCGGCAAUUGCUAACAUGAUUCGGACAGACUUAAGCAUCACUACAGGUGAGAAGGUCUCAUCGUAGUCAAUCCCUUGAAGUUGCCGAAAACCUUUUGCGACAAGUCGAGCUUUGUAGACAGUAAUAUUAUCGUCAGCGUCAGUCUUCUUCUUGAAGAUCCAUUUAUUCUCAAUUGCUUACCGAUCAUUGGGCAAGUCAACCAAAGUCCAUACUUUCUUGUCAUACAUGGAUCCCAUCUCAGAUUUCAUGGCUUCAAGCCAUUUUGCGGAAUCUGGGCUCACCAUCGCUUCUUCAUAGUUCGUAGGUUCAUCAUGAUCUAGUAGCAUGACUUCCAGAACAGGAUUACCGUACCACUCUGGCGCGGAUCUUACUCUGGUUGAUCUAUGAGGUUCAGUAGUAUCUUGUUCUGAAGUUUCACGAUCAUUAUCAUUAGCUUCCUCACUAAUUGGUGUAGGUGUCACAGAAACAGGUUUCUGUGAUGUACUACUUUCCAAUAAGGGAGCAGGUACAGUUACCUCGUCAAGUUCUACUUUCCUCCCACUCACUUCUUUCGAGAGAAACUCCUUCUCCAGAAAGUUUCCGAAUUUAGCAACAAAAGUCUUGCCUUCGGAUCUGUGAUAGAAGGUGUAUCCAAUAGUUUCCUUUGGAUAUCCUAUGAAGACACAUUUCUUCGAUUUGGGUUCGAGCUUAUCAGGUUGAAGCUUUUUCACAUAGGCAUCGCAGCCCCAAACUUUCAGAAACGUCAACUUUGGUUUCUUGCCAAACCACUGUUCAUAAGGCGUCGUCUCAACGGAUUUUGAUGGUGCCGUAUUUAACGUGAAUGCGGCCGUCUCUAGAGCAUAUCCCCAAAAUGAUAGCGGUAAAUCAGUAAGAGACAUCAUAGAUCGCACCAUAUCUAGUAAAGUACGAUUACGACGUUCGGACACACCAUUACACUGUGGUGUUCCAGGUGGCGUGAGUUGCGAAACUAUUCCACAUUGUUUCAAAUGUACACCAAACUCGUAACUCAAAUAUUCUCCUCCAUGAUCAGAUCGUAGGAAUUUUAUUUUCUUGUUACGAUGAUUUUCAACUUCACUCUGAAAUUCUUUGAACUUUUCAAACGUUUCAGACUUAUGUUUCAUUAAGUAGAUUACCCAUAUCUGCUUAAGUCAUCUGUGAAGGUGAGAAAAUAACGAUAUCCGCCACGAGCCUCAACAUUCAUCGGACCACAUACAUCUGUAUGUAUGAUUUCCAACAAAUCUGUUGCUCUCUCCAUAGUACCAGAGAACGGUGUUUUUGUCAUCUUACCCAUAAGGCACGGUUCGCAAGUACCAAGUGAUUCAUAAUCAAGUGGUUCCAAAAGCCCAUUAGUAUGGAGUUUCUUCAUGCGCUUUACACCGAUAUGACCCAAAUGGCAGUGCCACAAAUAAGUUGCACUAUCAUUAUCAACUCUGCAUCUUUUGGCUUCAACAUUAUGAAUAUGUGUGUCACUACUAUCGAGAUUUAAUAAGAAUAGACCACUCUUUAAGGGUCCAUGACCAUAAAAGAUAUUACUCAUAUAAAUAGAACAACCAUUAUUCUCAGAUUUAAAUGAAUAACCGUCUCACAUCAAACAAGAUCCAGAUAUAAUGUUCAUGCUUAACGCUGGCACCAAAUAACAAUUAUUUAGGUCUAAUACUAAUCCCGAAGGUAGAUGUAGAGGUAGCAUGCCGACCGCGAUCACAUCGACUUUGGAACCAUUUCCCACGCGCAUCGUCACCUCGUCCUUAGCCAAUCUUCGCUUAAUCCGUAGUCCCUGUUUCGAGUUGCAAAUAUUAGCAACAGAACCAGUAUCAAAUACCCAGGUGCUACUGCGAGCAUUAGUAAGGUACACAUCAAUAACAUGUAUAUCACAUAUACCUUUGUUCACCUUGCCAUCCUUCUUAUCCGCCAAAUACUUGGGGUAGUUCCGCUUCCAAUGACCAGUCUGCUUGCAGUAGAAGCACUCAGGUUCAGGCUUAGGUCCAGGUUUGGGUUUCUUCUCUUGAGUAGCAACUUGCUUGCUGUUCUUUUUGAAGUUCCCCUUCUUCUUCCCUUUGCCCUUUUUCUUGAAACUAGUGGUCUUAUUGACCAUCAACACUUGAUGCUCCUUCUUGAUUUCUACCUCGGCAACUUUCAGCAUUGCGAAGAGCUCGGGAAUAGUCUUAUUCAUCCCUUGCAUAUUAUAGUUCAUCACGAAGCUCUUGUAGCUUGGUGGCAGUGAUUGGAGAAUACUGUCAAUGACGCAAUCAUUUGGAAGAUUAACUCCCAAUUGAAUCAAGUGAUUAUUAUACCCAGACAUUUUGAGUAUAUGCUCACUGACAGAACUGUUCUCCUCCAUCUUGCAGCUAUAGAUCUUAUUGGAGACUUCAUAUCUCUCAAUCCGGGCAUUUGCUUGAAAUAUUAACUUCAACUCCUGGAACAUCUCAUACGCUCCAUGACGUUCAAAACGUCGUUGAUGUCCCGAUUCUAAGCCAUAAUGCAUGGCACACUGAACUAUCGAGUAGUCAUCAGCUUUGCUCUGCCAGAUGUUCAUAGCAUCUGGUGUUGCUCCAGCAGCAGGCCUGGCACCCAGUGGUGCUUCCAGGACGUAAUUCUUCUGUGCAGCAAUGAGGAUGAUCCUCAAGUUACGGACCCAGUCCGUGUAAUUGCUACCAUCAUCUUUCAACUUUGCUUUCUCAAGGAACGCAUUAAAAUUCAACGGAACAACAGCACGGGCCAUCUAUCUACAAUCAAACAUAGACAAGCAAGAUACUAUCAGGUACUAAGUUCAUGAUAAAUUUAGGUUCAAUUAAUCAUAUUACUAAAGAACUCCCACUUAG
rnacentral:lncRNA from 1 species